GUGUCAGCCGCCGCGGUAAAACGUAGGAUGCGAGCGUUAUCCGGAGUUACUGGGCGUAAAGCGCGGGCAGGCGGAGGGGCAAGUCGGACGUGAAAGCUCCCGGCUUAACCGGGAGAGGCCGUUCGAGACUGCCUCUCUGGAGGGCAGUAGAGGCGCGUGGAAUUCCGGGUGGAGCGGUGAAAUGCGCAGAGAUCCGGAGGAACACCAGAGGCGAAGGCGGCGCGCUGGGCUGACCCUGACGCUGAGCCGCGAAAGCGUGGGGAGCGAACAGGAUUAGAUACCCUGGUAGUCCCAGCCGUAAACGAUGGGCACUAGGUGUGGGGGGUUACCAACUCCCUCCGUGCCGAAGCUAACGCAUUAAGUGCCCCGCCUGGGGAGUACGGCCGCAAGGUUAAAACUUAAAUGAAUUGACGGGG
rnacentral:rRNA from 1 species